rnacentral:lncRNA from 1 species
GUGAGUGUAUGUUUAUGUGUACAGUAUGGGUGUCAGUGUGUGUGUGUAUGUAUACAGUAUGGGUGUCAGUGUAUGUGUAUGUGUACAGUAUGGGUGUCAGUGUGUGUGUAUGUGUACAGUAUGGGUGUCAGUGUGUGUGUGUAUGUGUACAGUAUAGGUGUGAGUGUAUGUGUAUGUGUACAGUAUGGGUGUCAGUGUGUGUGUGUGUGUUUAUGUGUACAGUAUGGGUGUCAGUGUGUGUCUAUGUGGACAGUAUGGGUGUCAGUGUGUGUGUGUAUGUGUACAGUAUGGGUGUCAGUGUGUGUGUAUGUGUACAGUAUGGGUGUGAGUGUAUGUGUAUGUGUACAGUAUGGGUGUCAGUGUGUGUGUAUGUGUACAGUAUGGGUGUCAGUGUGUGUGUAUGUGUACAGUAUGGGUGUCAGUGUGUGUCUGU